rnacentral:rRNA from 1 species
GCAGGUUGAAGCGCGGGUAAGACCGCGUGGAGGACCGAACCCACCUGGGUUGAAAACCGGGGGGAUGACCUGGGGCUAGGGGUGAAAGGCCAAUCAAAUUCCGUGAUAGCUGGUUCUCUCCGAAAUGCAUUUAGGUGCAGCGUCGGUCGAUUGCGUCGCGGGGGUAGAGCUACCGGAUGCUUGCGGGCCCUUGUUGGGUACCAACAGCAGCCGAACUCCGAAUACCGUUGACGUGUAUUCCGGCAGUGAGUCGGCGGGGGAUAAGCUCCGUCGUCGAGAGGGAGACAGCCCAGACCGUCGUCUAAGGUCCCGAAGCGUGUGCUAAGUGGGAAAGGAUGUGGAGUCGCAUAGACAGCCAGGAGGUUGGCUCAGAAGCAGCCAUCCUUGAAAGAGUGCGUAACAGCUCACUGGUCUAGUGGUUCCGCGCCGACAAUGUAGCGGGGCUCAAGCACACCACCGAAGACGCGGCAGCAAUCUUCAUGGUUGCUGGGUAGGAGAGCGUCCUGCGAGGGGCGAAGCGGCGGUGGAAACCGGCCGUGGACUUCGUGGGAGUGAGAAUGCAGACAUGAGUAGCGAGAGACGGGUGAGGAUCCCGUCCGCUGGAUGACCAAGGGUUCCGGGGCCACGUUCGUCGUCCCCGGGUGAGUCGGGUCCUAAGGCGAGGCCGACAGGCGUAGUCGAAUGGAUGAACGGGUGGAUAUUCCCGUACCGACCAUGGACCGGCAAAACCGAGACGGUGAGUACUAACCUCCGCCUCGUGGUGGUUCCUUCCUUCGGGUUGGUUCCGCCGCGUGGCGUUGGGAGCGUAGCCGUAGUAGGUCAGCGCAGGGGUGACACGGAAUGGGAGCCGGCCGCGGAGGUGGUUUUCCGUGGUCAAGCACGCAGCCAGUCAUGUAGGCAAAUCCGCAUGGCGCGCAUGGCGAGGUGUGAUGAUGGGAGCCGUUAUGGCUCGAUAUCCGGUUGUCCAGGCCGUCGAGAAAAGCCUCGGCGUGAGGGCCAUGGCCGCCCGUACCCCAAACCGACACUGGUGGUCAGGUAGAGAAUACCAAGGCGAUCGAGCGAAUCCUGGUCAAGGAACUCGGCAAAUCACUCCCGUGCCUUCGGUAUAAGGGAGACCCGCUGGGGUGAACCGGCUAGCCCGGGGAGCUUUGGUGGGUGGCACAGACCAGGGGGUAGCGACUGUUUACCAAAAACACAGGUGCAUGCGAAGGCGAAAGCCGCUGUAUAUGCACUGACGCCUGCCCGGUGCCGGAAGGUUAAGAGGAUCCGUCAAUCCCUUCGGGGACGAAGCGGUGAAUUCAAGCCCCGGUAAACGGCGGUGGUAACUAUAACCAUCCUAAGGUAGCGAAAUUCCUUGUCGGGUAAGUUCCGACCUGCACGAAUGGCGUAACGACUUCCCCACUGUCUCGACCAGGAGCUCGGCGAAAUUGCAGUACGAGUAAAGAUGCUCGUUAAGCGCAGAAGGACGAAAAGACCCCGGGACCUUUACUAUACCUUGGUAUUGGCGUUAGGCGCGGAUUGUGUAGCAUAGGCGGGAGGCUUCGAAGCGGGUGCGCCAGCAUUCGUGGAGCCGCAAGGUGAAAUACCGCUCUGUUCUCGUUUGACGUCUAACCUCGACAAGUCAUCCUUGUCAGGGACAGUGCCUGGCGGGUAGUUCAACUGGGGCGGUUGCCUCCCAAAGAGUAACGGAGGCGCUCAAAGGUCCGCUCAGCCCGGUUGGCAAUCGGGUGUCGAGUGUAAUCGCACAAGCGGGCUUGACUGCGAGGACGACGGUCCGAGCAGGGACGAAAGUCGGAGAUAGUGAUCCGGUGCCGGCGCACGGGCGCGGCAUCGCUCAACGGAUAAAAGGUACCCCGGGGAUAACAGGCUGAUCAUUCCCAAGAGUCCAUAUCGACGGGAUGGUUUGGCACCUCGAUGUCGGCUCGUCGCAUCCUGGGGCUGGAGCAGGUCCCAAGGGUUCGGCUGUUCGCCGAUUAAAGCGGCACGCGAGCUGGGUUCAGAACGUCGUGAGACAGUUUGGUCUCUAUCCUCUGCGCUCGUUGGAAUCCUGAGGAGGCCUGCCCAUAGUACGAGAGGACCUGGGUGGACGAACCUCUGGUAUGCCGGUUGUC